rnacentral:lncRNA from 1 species
GUGUUGUUCAGACUGUAUGAACGUGAGGGGAGGAGCGGGACUGGUUCCGUCCAACACUGAAUGCAGGUUGGAUCUGCACACUCAAGACCGAGAUUGUAGGUGAAAGGAGUUUAAGGCUGUUCUACAGGAUUCACUGUAGUCCUCAGAGUACAUCAGGAGGAUACAUUUUUCUUGCAUGGAGAAUGGAUGAUGUGUGCACUUUUGAAAGUUCGUAGGCUUUCAAUCUGCCUCCUGUUCACCUUGAAGUGAUUGCUGGAUGCCGGUUCCUCAUGCAGGAGUCUGAGCUUCUGCAGAAACUCGGUGAACCACUAUAAGAACACAGAAGCACAUUACACUCCUCAAGGAACCGUUCCUCCCAGAAUCUCUAACGAGCUGCCUUCCUGCCCAUCUGACAAAGACCAAGGGCAAAGCCCUCCCAAAUGCACACCCUUUAUACCCUACCUGCCAUUUAGAGGAGGAGAAGGAGUGGCCAUACUCUUCGAUGCAGGCCCAGUAGAGAAGGAAGAGGCACCAGCUGUCCCUUUCAGUUUGUGGAGUCUGCCUUUCUCAGGCCAUCACCUCAUUCAGGGACACACAAACCUGGGGACACUGAGAGCAUCCCUCAUUCUGCAUGUUUCAGGGAAAGCUGUCUCUGAGAGAAAUAUAAAGGGUGAGCCCCUUUCAUCUAGGCAAGCAUUGUGGGAAACACUGACUUUAAAAAGCCAUAGAAAAGAUUCCUGUAAACACCUGCCUUCUUUCACACAUUGGGCAAUAGAGAAAAACAGUCUAACUAAAUAUGUGUAAAACUGAUACUUUAUUACCCUGUUUUAAGAUUCUAUUUCUAUGUUUAGUUUAAAUUGUAUCGUUGCAUUAUAAUAAAUGUUAAUGACAUUAAACUCAUAAUUUCACAUUCAUAGAUA